UUUGCAAAGUAUAUCCAAGUCGAUAGUGUUUCAUUAUCAAUCAACAAAUUUUAAUAUUAAAAUACUCGUGGCUGGAAAGGCUGCAAAUU
rnacentral:pre_miRNA from 1 species